rnacentral:lncRNA from 1 species
GUGAAUGUGAUGAAAUAAAUAGGAAGAGCUUAUGGUUCCUUAUUUUUACCUUGAUUUCCUAGUUAUGUCAGCUGUUGCUCUAUCCCUAAGGUAAGCUCUCUUCUCAGGUAAAUUGUCUCCUAAAUAUUGGUUAUAUAUAGGGUCAAAGUACAAUGCCUACUUCAGACCUCUGCUAAAAGAGCUUCAGAUCUGAUUCUACCACCCGGAGGUCGUAUAGAUUGAAAUCCGGAUAAAUGAGAACUGAAGCUUAUUUUAUCUAGGAAUUUACAUAUAAAUCAUGAAACGUGUACCGUCUAUGCCUUCACAAUCACAUGAUCACCUUACCCCCAAACUAGCAUUUUACUAUCAGUCUCUCUAUUUUUUACACUGGGUUAGAUCUUGUUCGGUACGAAUAACCAUUAUCAAACCGAAACAUGAGUAUACGAUUAGAUAAGAUUUGACAAGUGUAAAUACUAAAUGCAAUCGUAACACAAUGCAUUGGUUAAUCAAAAGCAAAUAAAUAAAAGGGUUAGAAAUUAGAUGAGUCAAGAAGUAAUAGAUGCACAAACAAAGUCAAGAAACCCAAGCUUAUGAAAGUUCAAUUUUCGAACAAAAAGAAAGAAAAAUUAUUGAGCAGAGCUCAACUUCCUUGAAGCAAGCCAACUCGCAUGGUAGAGUGGACCAGGCCGAGCCCCACGGUAGACACAUUGAGCAACUCUAAUCUAUCCAUUUUAACACCUCUAACCAUAUCACCACAUAUAUAUAAUUAAUAAAGUUGCACCUUUUUUUAGUUGAAACACAGACAACAUCUAUUGGGAUUCUUAGGCUUGUUGCUUGACUCGUCGGAUCUUCAGGUUUGGAUUUGUGAUAUCAUGUGGUUCAAAUUUCAAAUAAUUAAUUGGGACGACUGGUAGAGAGAAGAUGACCCCCCAUAUGUUGGCGACCCCAGCUAUGUCGGGUAGCGCCUAUGAUGAUAUGACGAUUACCGUAGUGAUAGUUCGAUUGACACUACAUUCGCUUGCUCGUAAGGUACAGAUAGCUUUGGCAUGUCAGGUGACGCUCAUCAUAUUAAAGCACUAAUUGCUAUGCUAGUCCAACCGCCGUCACGCGCAGAGCGACCACCGUCUACCAGAACAACAUUGGAAUCGGUAAACAACCAUCCGAACGGUUAUUAUUAAACCCACUACCCCUGGUAAUCGAAUGAAGAGCGGGCAAGUCUCAUGAGGGCACGUAGAUGACAACUGCCAGACGGUUACGUGAUGCUAGAUUGAUGCGGACACGUGGAUGGUAACUGCCCAGCGAUUAUGUGAUGCCAGAUGCCUAGAAAUAACCCAAGAGAAUGUUAGGUAAAGGGAUUCUUUCUUUUUCCAGAAAAAAUUCUUUCCUCUGUCACUAUUGCAAUUCUUUAAAAACAUUUAUCUAAAAAUGAUUACUGACUCUCACGCCAGAGGUAAAACGAGGAAGGGAGCCCUAGCCUCUUUUUGCAGGAUCACUGGAGGACAAGAGACCACUUUUUCACUGGAAAAAACACGGAGUUACACCAGAAAUAUUUCAAUUUGUGAUCUUGUUUUAUUGAUAAAUCAACUAACUCCGUCCUUGUCAUGAUACUAGCCCAGUUGAGAGUGAAAUCAAAAAGGGAAAUGUAAAAUAGAAAAGCAACCAAUUUCACAAGGUGUCUAAGAAGUCUUGCAUCUUUAUGCUUUUUAAAAAUCAAUUAUGGAAAUGUCAAUAAUAAAACCAGAACAGUAUGAAUUGAAAGAGAGAUGUAGCUGAAAC